ACUUGGAAUUGUUUUAGGCAGCCCAAACCGCUAUCCCCACCUUCUUCCUCACUUGCCAUUCUUCGCUGACCUCUAAACCUAACCGCCCAUGGGCAAAGGGGCCCCUCCUGCCGUUGCCACAGCCACCUCCGUCCCUGAGGCGCCGGUCUUCCACCCCACAGACGAGGAGUUCGCCGACCCCCUCGCCUACGUCGCCCGUAUCCGCCCCCUCGCCGAGCCCUACGGCAUCUGCCGCAUCGUCCCGCCGUCCUCAUGGUCCCCGCCUUACGCCCUCGACUUCAAGGCUCUCUCCUUCCCCACCAAGAGGCAGCCCAUCCACCGCCUCCUCGCCCGCCCCGCCCCCGCUGACCCCGACACCUUCCUCCUCGACUAUCGCCGUUUCCUCGGGGCUUCCUCCGCACAUCGCCGUGGCCGCAGGAAGGGCCUUCCCAAGUCGCCCUCUCUCUCGGAUGGUCGCCCGCUCGACCUCUGCCGCCUGUUCCAUGCUGUCAAGCGCUUCGGCGGUUACUACGGUGCCUGUGAGGGGAAGCGCUGGGGCGACGUCGUCCGCCUCGUUGAUGAUAAGGCGCCAAUGCACAUAUCAGAGUGCGCCAAGCACGUGCUUGCGCAGCUAUAUUACGAGCAUCUCUAUGGCUAUGAGAAGUUCGCCAACCCACAGCAUGGGAACAAGGGAAGGAAGCAGCCACGGCCCGGAUCUGAUGAUCGACCAUCGGUUUCUCGUUCACAGGACGAAGAGAGCAACAUAUCUGUUACUGGGGAGAUGGUUGAGGAGGUUACAGGCCGGAAAAGGAGAAAUUUCUCACGCAAGGAAUUAGGCAGAGGGACAUCUCAUGGUCGUUAUGGCCGUGUUGUUAACAUCACUGGAAAUAAUGUGGCAUCUGCUGUUGCCCAGAAGCGGACGAGGAGGAACUCUGAUGCUGUGGUUACCACAGUCGAUGAGGUGUCUGCUGGUGUCCGGAAGCGGAAAAGGAGAAAGUCUGAUGCCGCGUCUACCGUGUUUAAUGAUGAAGUGGAUCAAGUUUGUGAGCAGUGUAGUAGUGGGUUACAUGGGGAUGUCAUGCUCCUAUGCGAUCGCUGUGAUAAAGGCUGGCAUUUGUACUGUUUGUCGCCGCCGCUCGAGCGAGUGCCUCCAGGGAAUUGGUAUUGCUCAGAUUGCCUCAACUCCGAUAGAGAUUGUUUUGGGUUUAUCCAAAGGAGGAAGUCCUGCUUGCUUGAGACUUUCCGGCGGUUUGACGACAGGGUGAGAAAGAGAUGGUUUGGGCAGAGGAAUCCCAGCCGUAUUCAAAUUGAGAAGCAGUUCUGGGAGAUUGUGGAGGGGAAGGCAGGGGAACUUGAGGUUAUGUAUGGGAGUGACUUGGACACUUCAAUUUAUGGGAGCGGGUUUCCUCGUCUUGGUGAUACAGUGCCAUCAUCUAUGGACCUAGAGACGUGGCAGAAAUACUGUUCAAGCCCGUGGAAUUUGAACAAUUUUCCGAAUCUGCCUGGCUCAGUUCUUAGGACAGUCAAGGAUAAAAUUCCUGGUGUCAUGGUCCCAUGGCUCUACAUAGGGAUGCUGUUUUCGUCAUUUUGUUGGCAUGUUGAGGACCAUUGUUUCUAUUCAAUAAAUUAUUUGCAUUGGGGUGAGCCAAAAUGUUGGUAUGGGGUGCCUGGAGCAAAAGCAAAUGCCUUUGAGCAGGUUAUGCGCCAGGCCUUACCUGAUCUGUUUGAUGCACAACCGGAUCUGCUUUUUCACCUUGUCACAAUGCUGAAUCCAUCUAUUUUACAAGCAAAUAGCGUUCCAGUAUAUAGCGUGAUGCAGGAACCUGGAAACUUCAUCAUCACCUUCCCCAGGUCAUUCCAUGGUGGCUUCAAUUUAGGUUUGAACUGUGCCGAGGCUGUAAAUUUUGCCCCUGCUGAUUGGUUACCUCAUGGUGGAAUUGGGGCUAAUCUAUAUCGUUUAUACCGCAAAGCGCCUGUCUUGUCACAUGAGGAGCUUCUGUAUGUGGUUGCAAAGAAUGGUGUGGAUGCUGAGUCACUUACCCAUUUGAAGGGAGAAAUAAAAAGGCUUUUUAUAAAUGAGAGAAGACGUCGAGUAGAGCUUUGGAUUAAUGGGACUGUCAAAUCUAGCCUAAUGUUGCCAAGGAUUAAUCCAAACUUUAUCGGAAGUGAAGAGGAUCCUACAUGCAUUAUUUGUCGACAGUAUCUGUAUCUUUCAGCAGUCUCCUGUAACUGUAGGCUGUCUUCUUAUGUUUGCCUUGAGCACUGGAAGCACCUUUGUGAAUGCAGUCCGAAGAAGCAUUGCUUACUUUAUCGACACACCCUUGCAGAGUUGGGGGAUUUAGUGUGCGAGGUCUCUUUGGUUAGCCCCCAAAGGGACAAUGUUAUGCAGAAUCCACACUUGCUCAAUGAUGUUUAUGUGCCGUCUAAAAAGGUCAAAGAUCACUAUAUAUUAUAUAGACAGCUUGCAGAAGAUUGGGUUUCAAACUCUGAACAUAUUCUCCAGAUGCCAUUUGUGGAAAGGUCUUAUGCCACUGCUUUGGAAGAAGCUGAACAAUUUCUUUGGGGUGAUCAUGCCAUGGAUUCUGUCCGGAACAUAACAGUAAGACUAACAAAGGCUAUGAAGUGGGCCUUGGGUGUUAGAAAAUGUCUCUCCAAAAUUCAGGACUUUCUGAAAGAUGGCUGCUCUGAAAAAGUAAAUUAUGUGGAAAUAGAAGAACUAGUUGCUACGAAAUGUGCCCCGUGCUGUGAGCCUAGUCUUACAAAAUUGCAGGCGUAUGCAGAGGAAGCGAAAUUGCUGAUUAAUGAAGUAAACAAUGCACUAUCAUCUUUCUUAACAGUAGACAAAUUGGAAACAUUAUACUCAAGGGUUUCAGAAUUCCCAGUUAAGCUAACAGAAUCAUCGACUUUGUUUUGGGAGUUAUCUUCUGCAAAGUCCUGGUUGAAGAAAGCAAGUGAUUGCCUUGAACAGAAUAAACUGGGCAUUAUCGACAUAGAUGUCCUCAAUAAACUAAAAUCAGAGAUAAUACAACUUCGAGUUCUACUUCCAGAGAUUGAUCUUAUCUCAAAGCUGUGGAAAGAUGUGGAAUCAUGGCAAACCCGUUGUCAAUUAUAUCUCCAAGACUUCCCUGAUCUAAAGGAGCUGGAGGGUUUUCUCCUUGCUGCGGAUGGUGCCAACUUUAGCAUUCCAGAGCUGAACAUUCUUAAGCAACAUUACUCAAAUUGUUGCUCUUGGGUGAGUCGUGCUAAGAACAUACUCAGAAAACUUUAUGCUACGAGUGACUAUCACAAUGCUGUUGAGGAGUUGACAGGCAUUCUGAAGGAAGCAGAAUUACUAGGAGUAAAAGUUGAUGAAUUGCCUAUUGUGGAGAAAGAACUAAAGAGGUCCUUAUGUAGGAAGCAAGCAUCUGAGGCACUUGCAACAGUAAUGCCAAUGGAGGUGGUUGAAGAAAUUUUAAAAGAAGCUUCGAUACUACAUAUUGAAGAGGAGCAACCAUUUGAUGAUCUGUCUCGGAUGCUCAAAGAGGCCACUUCCUGGGAAGAGAAGGCUAGACUUAUUCUUGAACGAUCAGCUUCUCUCUCUGAGUUUGAAGACCAUAUGAGGUGUUCAGAGGGAAUAAGAGUUAUCCUUCCGUCUAAACUGCAUAUGAAAGCAGAGGUUGAUAUUGCUAAAUUGUGGAUAGACAAAUGUCAGGCCUAUUUGAGACCAGGCUGCAAUAAACUUGCAUUUGGAGACUUUCUUAAAGUUGAUGAUAUCAAGGAUUUAAUCAAUCAGCCUGCAAAUUUGAAAGUCAUUCUUGACACUUCAGAACUUAAUUCUGUUCUCAACAAUAUUGAAAAAUGGGAACACAGUUCACUAAGUCUACUCAAUAAUUUUAGAGCCUUACUUCAUUUGAAUAGUAUUGGCUCUACAGUUGACACACUUCAAAGAAAAUUGGAGGAGCUGCAAGGUAAAAUGAACACAGAAAUAGAAGUUGGAUUAUCUCUUGGUUUUGAGUUCAAGGUUCUUUGGGAACUGAAGGAUUCUUCGUUGAUGCUAAGAUGGAUAUUGAAUGCACUGUCUCUGUGCUGUAUGAUUCCUUUAUUGCAGGAUGUUGAUAGAUUAAUUGAAGAAGCAGUCCACCUUCCUGCUUCCUUAGCAGAUUGUUCUUUGGUUACAUUGUUGAUGAGGGCAUUGUCUUGUCUAAGAAAAUCACUUAUUUUGCUUCCUGGUUCUGGAACAUCUGCAAAAUCCAAAUUGGAAGAUGUUGAAAAUAUUCUAGCAGAAUUCAAGGAGGUUGAUGUUCCUUAUCCUAUCAUGACUGCCAAGCUGGAGGAUGCUGUAAACAAUCAUAAUUCAUGGAUAGAGCAAUGCAAUACCUUCUUCAUGCUGUCUGAUGGCCAGUCGUGGGCUAUGCUGCAAAAUCUCAGGGACAAUGGGCAGUCUGUUGCAUUUGAUUGCCCUGAGAUGGAUAAAGUUGUUGAUGAGGUUAAAAACGUUGAAGAGUGGCUCAAUCAGUGCCACUGUACUCUACUUCUAGAUGGAAAUAAUAGUUCUUUGCUCUCCAUACUUGUAAAGAUAAGAGGAUUAUUGGAUGAUGUUUGCACGUUAUAUGCUGAGGAUUGUAUGAAGUUAAGAUUAUGUGCUGUAUGCUCAUGUGACAUCGGAGAUAGGCUGGCAUCUAGAUGUGUGACUUGUCAAGACUGGUACCAUGGCUCCUGCGUGGAAAACCUGUCUGCUACUACACAAACGACAAUUGAAUGGAUGUGUUCAUUUUGUUCACUUUUACAGAGUGAGGACCAAUUGAAGAACCAACUAUCUGUAAAGAUGUCUAAAGGAAACUGCCCUGCACUUGCCGCACUUGAUGAACUCAUCUCUUCUGCAAAGGGUUUAUACACUGGGAUUGAGGAAAUUAAUUUGCUAAAAGAAAUUGUUGAUAAGGCUCGUAACUUGAAUGCCUACUUGAUGCAAAUUCUGGAUGAUUCAGACUGUUAUCAUGGAGAAGAUCUUACUGUCAUAUUCAAAUCUCUUUUAGUUGCUCUCAAGGAUGAGUAACUACAUCUUUUGGCUAUUUUGCUUGGUAGGCGACAUCAGCUUCUGGCUUGUAUGAUGACAAUGUCAGUUGCAGAAUUGAGUCUGUUUUGAGCAGAUAUUUGUGGAAGAAACAAAUACAUAAACUAUUGUAUGGUGGUAAAAAGUCAUCGAUUCAAGAAGUACUGUGCCUUGAUGAAGAGGGUUCACAUUUAGAGAUAUGUGAUCAAGAUUUCUUCAAGUUGGAGAUUAGUAAAAUAAAGGAAACCAGCCUGCAGUGGCUGGCUAAAGCAGAGGAGGUUGCAUGUGAUUCUGGUGAGCUUGCACUGGAUCUUGUGUAUGGACUUAUAGCUGAAGGGGAAAAUCUCUCUGUAGACUUUGAGAAGGAACUAAAGUUACUGAGGGAUCGCAGUGUCCUCUACUGCAUCUGCUGUAAGCCCGACGAUAACAGGGCCAUGAUUGCAUGCGACCAGUGUGAUGAGUGGUACCAUUUUGAUUGCAUCAACCUGCUUGGACCCCCUCCAGAAAGCUUCUUCUGCCCUGCUUGCCAUCCAAACAAUGGUGAAGAAUCUGUAUCACUUGCACGCUCAGAGGAUGAUGAGGAUAGAUCAAGCACUGGAGCCGGAGCUCACACGCCGCCGGACAGAGUGGUGGAGCGAGACUUAAUAAAGCUUCUUAGCUGCCAUAGCGGUAGCUCAUGGAGCGAGAGCAGAAGGGCUCCUCAUCGAACAGCUAGAAGGCGUAGUAGUUUCGUCGGAUUGUUAUGAUGUGCAGGAACCUUCUUAGCACCGUGAAUUGAUUCUUUUUAGUUAGGUUAGAAGCAGGAACGAUCCAUCAUCUGCUGUUGUAAUUUGUAGCUGUUGACAGGAGGUAGAUGUAGCAAGGCAGAGCUGUAAGAACCCAUUAUUAUUGAUCUUGUAGCAGUCUGAGGUUUUGGAAAUUGUAUCAUAUACUACCGCCGUUCUUGAAUAUUUGUCGCCUAUUGUUUCAAAAAACGACAAAUAAAAAAAUUAAAAAAGAAUGGAGAGUAUUUUUAUGCUGCUGCUAUGCACGGCUCA